CCGAAAUAACAAAAAAUUACAAUUCUACCUCAUCCAUUCAAUUUGUACCAAAAUUUAUCAACUGACCAACAUUUAUUUUUAAAAACACCAACUUACUACGACUAUAACAUAAUUCCUAAUCAAAUUCAACAAUUAAUCUCAUGAACAAACUCCUAAUCAACAACAUUUAAGAAUUACUUCACACGAAAUCAGAUUCAUAUUUAAUGAUAAACUUACAAACUAAUUAGUAUAUUCAAAUUAGUAAUAAUUAAAUCAUCAAUUGAACUCCA
rnacentral:lncRNA from 1 species